rnacentral:rRNA from 1 species
UAAACCCCUUUCACCUAUGACGAAGCGCAAGUGACGGUAGUAGGAGAAGAAGCACCGGCCAACUACGUGCCAGCAGCCGCGGUAAUACGUAGGGUGCGAGCGUUGUCCGGAAUUAUUGGGCGUAAAGGGCUCGUAGGCGGUUUGUCGCGUCGGGAGUGAAAACUCGGGGCUUAACUCCGAGCCUGCUUCUGAUACGGGCAGACUAGAGGUAUGCAGGGGAGAACGGAAUUCCUGGUGUAGCGGUGAAAUGCGCAGAUAUCAGGAGGAACACCGGUGGCGAAGGCGGUUCUCUGGGCAUUACCUGACGCUGAGGAGCGAAAGUGUGGGGAGCGAACAGGAUUAGAUACCCUGGUAGUCCACACCGUAAACGUUGGGCGCUAGGUGUGGGACUCAUUCCACGAGUUCCGUGCCGCAGCUAACGCAUUAAGCGCCCCGCCUGGGGAGUACGGCCGCAAGGCUAAAACUCAAAGGAAUUGACGGGGGCCCGCACAAGCGGCGGAGCAUGCGGAUUAAUUCGAUGCAACGCGAAGAACCUUACCUGGGUUUGACAUAUAGAGAAAUCCUCCAGAGAUGGGGGGUCCGUAAGGGCUCUAUACAGGUGGUGCAUGGCUGUCGUCAGC